rnacentral:lncRNA from 1 species
UUUGUAGUGCUCUGGCUGUUGGAAUACUAGCAGGGUUUUAGUGAGGUCUUAUCAAUAAGGCUUUGUCCUCUUUCAGAAUUUGGAGUGCCAAGCCUUCAUAUAAAGCACUUGGGAUGUCCUGUUGCAAAAGAACACCUGGAGAAGAUACCCAGCCAAGCUCCAGCCUUCCCACCAUAUUGCUGAGUGGGAGCUUUGCAAAGGGAACAUUACUGCUGUGAUGAAUAACAGUCUCUCCAGAGAAACUGGUGUGACGCAGGCAUUUCAUCCUACUGAGAGGAACACCACGCCUGCCACCAACUGAUGCCCCUAGUAUUGCCUCUGAGGAAGAUGGACCUAUUUUAAUUCCUGUUCUGCACACUGUGAACUUGAAAGACGUGGUCAUAUUGAGAAGAAUUAAAGUGUGCGAACCUCUCAGUGUGCGUACAGAACAUCUUCUGGUGGUUGAGAAGUUGAGAACACAGCCCUCAGUCAAGAAGCUUCUUGGUUUAUAAUAAAGUAAGAACACAGCUAGUUCUGAGAACCCAACAGAUCUGCUGUCCAAGCCUUGGACCUCGUGUCUCCUGGACCACCUUAAGAAAUGUAACGUAGAGAUGAGUGUGCUAUGUGAACUUUCUAAUGGGCUCCUUUCCUUCUUUGUUUUAACUACUGGACAAAAUCACACUGUUAAAAGCAUAAGGCUGCUCCAGAGUUCUGUAUGUUGUUGGGAUAUUUUUUUCUUUUUCACAUCAUGGUUUUCUUCUCAUGAGUAAUUAAAACUGCAGCAAGUCUAUAACAUGAAUCUGAGAAUAAUAUCCCUCGAGGUUGAAGACCCAAAAUUCUUCAAAAUAUAAUACCUUUCAAAUUUUACUCCAUUUAGGCACUUAAGGAAAAUGGCACUUGUAGACACUAUCAAAGCCUUUUGAUUCACCUUCAAGCACAGUGUUUGCCAUUAAAUUGUUUGUCAUCAUAGCCCCAUUAAGUCAUCAGCCUUAGUUUAGUUUUGCUUUUUCCUUCCUCUCCUAUUUUCUCGUCAUUAUUUAUCGGUGACCCCAAUUCUUAAAGUCAGCUUUGGUCUUUGUUGUUUCCAAGAUUGCUGUCUGAUUUAUUUGGGGGAGGGGAGGAAGUGGAAUAUCAUCAUUGGUGCUGACCUGCCAGCAUGCAGGAGUGUAGAGAACAGACCAUUGAUUGAUGAGCCUCUUAUUUUAAUAAGAAUUACUUAGCUUCCUUCUUUACAGCUUAAUUUUCUGCCCCAAAUCAGGUAAUGACCAAAUUUGUUUGUCUUAAAAGGAUUCCUUGUAUAUUAGAUCAGAAAAGAGCUGAGGGUUGCAACUUAAUGCAUAAGAUAUAAUUUGUAAUGUGAAAACAGAGGAAGUAUAUCGGGAAGACAAAUUGUGAGAGCAUGAGGCACAGAGCAUACCAGAGGACAAACCCAUCCCAUUCUGCUCUCAGCUGCAUAUUAAGUGUGCCUGGGAAGCUUUGAAACAAAUACCAAGAGGUGGGUUCCACUCCAAAUCAACUGAAACUGGAUCUCUGAAUUAGUGGCUUGAAAAUUAGUAUGCUUUAAUAUUCCGAGGGGUUUUUAAUGUACUGCAAGGGUUAAAGACAGUUGAUAUGGGACAAGGUGGUUCCAUAAUGAAUAGGAAUAAUGAAGUUUCCCCCAGCCCCCAGCUUUGGGUCAGGAGUAUUCUGGGAGAAGAAAUAAAGACAAAGGACACAGAGGUUUUUCUAUUCUGUUUGAGAGGCAGGAGAAACACCAGGGAAGGAACCAAGAACUGCACAAAGCCAUGAGUGCCAGAGAUGUUACAAUGAUAUUGGAAAGGAAAUCCUACUGUUAUAAGGAAUCAAAAGGCUUCCAAGUAAGAAACUUAUUAGAGCUUCCUAGGGAGUAGGAAGUGAACACUUGGGCAAAUAUAUGAAAAGAAAAGGGUCAAGGUGGGAUGAAUCAUAGGGGACACAAACUGGGAUGUCCUGGGAUUGCAUUAGGGUUGGUAUGCUUCACUCUUGCUACCACCCUUCACCAAAUGCUUUGCACUAAUCAUUGCUGGAAUGCUUCUGCAGUGUCAUUACAGAGAGAAGAAUUGGCCCAACGAGAUUUAGGUGUCAGAGACUUGGGCUCUGUUACCCAGAUGACCUGGUCCUGAAUGACCAAAGAGAAAGGUGGGAUUACUCACUAACUACAGCUGUGAUACUACGAAGGGAAGAGUCUUAGGGCAAGGGGGAGACAAAACAGCAAGCUGGCCUCUACUGUGAGGGACCCUGAAGUCUUAUCAAGAACUGAGGUGAGGAUAGCAGGCUCAGAAGCCUUCAGAACUUUGCUAAACAGUUCAAAACAAUGCUGUACAAAGAGAUUCUUCCAGGUUCCUGAGGCAAGUUUGAGUGUAAGGCAGAGUCUUCUAAUAUGUCAACAUGGUUUUCAGGAUGACACAAAUUUUUAACUUUAAAUAGCCUUCAUAAUGUUUUCUACUACUGUGUAAGUCUUAUAUAAUGUCAAGCAAGAUGUUUCUUGCUUGCCAUAUAUGUUAUACAUGACCUUGAAUCUGUAGGGAGACAUUUUGGCACCUGAGGCAAACAGUGGGAGAUAAUUGAUGAUAUGGAUCACAGAUGGUCAUUAUUAACUGUGGAUACCAUCUGGAAACUGCUCAAUUUAAAUCAUUACUCUGGCUAAAUAGAUAUUAAACUUUCAAAAGUUAUUAUUUAGAGUUUUGUGUCCUCUGAAUCUUCAUGCUUCAGGUCUAACUCUUUUCCCUUAUGUGACUCAUGUCCAUCCUUGGUCCAUAAAGCUCAGGUAUGGAAUAAGGGUAUGUAUUGUGCAUAUAAACUUGCACAAAAAUACAUUGAGAACAUUAGGAGUUUAGUACUUCCUCUUAGUAAUAUAAACAUUAGUUAUUACUCAUAGCACUCAAGAGGUGAUAUCCAGGCCAUUUGUGGAGGUUUGAAUGAGAAUGAUCUUUAUAGGCUCAUAUAUUUGAAUGCUUAGUCACCAGGGAAUAACUAUUUAAAAGGAUUAAUAGAUGUGUGUAAGGGGUGCUUCUGAUGCUUGGAUCAGGAAUCUGCAUGUGAACACUGAAGGUCUUGUUCCCCAAUUGGGUCUUGAUUGGUCAAUAAAGAUGCCAGCAGCCAAUGGCUAGGUGGAAGAGGCAGAACUUCAGGUUCCCACAGGCAGGCUAGGAGAUGCAGGAGGAGAAAAGAGAUUUGCCUUGCUUUGGAGGGAGAAUCACCAACCAUGUGAGAUCUUGGGUGGAGUGGCCAUUGGAGUGGAGAUUAGAAACGCAACUAAGCUGAGAGCAGAUGUAAGGUGUUGAGCAAGGAGAAGGUAGCUGGACAACUAAGCCAAGGGAAUAUUUAGAGUGUCGAGCAAGGAGUAAAGGAAAAGGCACCCUAGCCACAGGAGGCUUAGAAGAGCCCAGCAGCUGAUCCAUAAGGCAGGUUAAAAAUGAGCUAUGUGUGUAUGUGUCUUUCAUUCACAGAUCCAAGGGAACCAGGGCAGUGGUUGGUAGCACUGUCUGCCUGGAGCUUAAAGCGGGGUAGUAGAAACUACUCGCUACAGAUAUGGCCUUGUUGGAGGAAGAGGGUCACUGGGUGUGAGCUUUGAGCUCUCAAAAGCCCAUGCAAAGCCCAGGUGUGUUUUGUCUCCCCCCCCCCCACACACACACACCUGUAGAUCAGGAUGUAACUCUCAACUACUGCUCUGGUGCUAUGAGUGGUCCCAUGCCCCAGCCAUGACCCUCUGACACUGUAAGCAAGUCUCCUAAUAAAUGCUUUCUUUUUUAUGAGAGUUGCAUUUUUCAUGGUGUCUCUUCAUAGCAAUAGAACAAUGACACCAUUCACACUCAUGUAUGCUGUGGUGAGUCCAUUAGGGGUUCAGAAAGGAUAGGAAUCUGGUGGGAACUCAACAAGAAGGUGGCAUGGGUGUCAUUUGAACUCAGAUGUGUGAAUCUAAGGCUCAAAAUUUCUUCUCAGCAUAUUUCUCAAACUACCCAGGGACCAUUUAUAUUGAAGAGAGGUCCCAGCCAUGGCCCUGGUCUUUUGGGCGUUUUCAGUUUUGUGUGCUGAUGGAGCUGUAGUUUUAGGUAGACUGCAUUGUUGAAUUCAGAUUAAAUAAGAUGAAGGUACUGGAGUGGACCAGUGCUCUUCAGUCUUUGGAACUUACUGCUGAAGACUACUCACGGUUAAAUAUCCAUUCUUAUGAUUUUUUUAGUAUUUUCAUUGUGGAUCAAUAUUACAAACACAUGUAAAAUAUUCAAACCAUACAAAAGGGUACAUGCCUCUCAGGAAUUUGGAAAAUAAAAAAAUUGUUUCCAGAAGGUUCAAAUUAGGAGAUUUCAAUGAAAGAACUGUUUACAGUAGUGUGCCAGGGUUAGUAGGGAAACAAGGGACAUGGGGAACCCAGACACUUAGCCAACAGCCUGAAGGAAGAAGUAGUAUUAGUGUGGUCCAGUUUGAGUUGGGAAGGAUCUGCUUUGAGACAAAUUUAUGUAUUGCCAGAGGCACCGUACAAAAGAAGGAGGGAACAUGGAAGGAAAAUCUUCAGUCUGUCUUCUAACUAUGAGAUCUCUUGUUGUGACUCAUACUGAAGAAACCCAAGAAGUCAGCCAUCAAGAGAGGCACAGUUGACUGUGUCUUCUGUGGAGGAUGCAUAUGGAGAGCAGGAAAGGUGGUGCUGGGGUUGAGCAGAACCACAGAACAACCAACCAGAGAAGCACUGACUUCCCAUCCCAGAUCCUUGACGGAUCUAUUAGUCUUUUCUUUGGAACCUUCUAGAAAUAGUAUUUGCAUAUACAGCCUGCAAUUAUCUUAACCCAUCUCCUCACAAAUAGUAAUGAACCCCUCAUCUUUCACUAGCUCCCACCACUGCUUUUUUUUUUUUUUCACCAAACAUUCUAUCUUAAAUUUGGGUUUCCUGUAGAACUCAUGGAGCUUCCUGUAGUUAGUUUCUAACUACAUUGGGUAGACAGCACCAGAAUCACUUGGGAACAUGAGAAUAGUAUAAGGAAUUAGAAACUACAGGUGAGUUGCAACAACCAAGGAGCCUUCCUCUUAAACGUAUCACACUUGAUCCAGGGGUAUUAGCAGCUCUCAUGUCAGUGUACUCAAGAAUCUAUGCCCAAAGACCCAUAAUAUCAGCCUGCAUGGCCAUGUGAUUAUGGGAUAAGGAAAACAAAGGGCAGUAAGCAUUAAUGUGGGUAUUAAUAUCCACUGUUAGUACAAAUGAGAGUCUGGAAUCAGCAUAGUUUUUGACACAUCUAUCUUAUAUUUCCCCUUGUGUUUGGUUCUUUGGACCCAGAAGCUGUGUUUUUAUCUCUGGUUGAGUCAUUGACACAAUCAAUACAAGCUAAGUAUGAUUGUGAAAAAGCACAGUUACCACACAGAGGCAGCAGCUUGGAAUCUACAGCUAGAUGACUUGCUAUCCACUCUGGCUCUCCUGCAGGAAGUGUAUGUGGGUAGUUUGGAAACUUUGAAGAAUAAGUCAAAUCUUUAGGUCACAGUUCCUGAACUCUGAUACUUUUAAAAAGUGCCCUAGGAUUGUCUAAGAUGCAGCUAGGCAUGAAAACACUGGUUUAUGGACAACUAUUACCUGCCAAAUGUGUGUGAGAUGCUAGAUAAUCUAAUAUUUCUUUUUGCCUUCAUUGCAAACCUAUACAUCAUAUAUUUUGUUCCCCACUUGUGGUUUGAAUGAAAAUGGCUCUCAAAGGCUCAUAGGGAGUGCCACUAUUUUGAAGGACUAGGGCAUGUGGCCUUGUGGAGUAGGUGUGGUCUUGUUGGAGGAAGCAUUCAAUGGAAGUAGAAUUUGAGGUUUCAAAUGCUUUCUCUCUUCCUAUUGCCUGCAUAUCCAGAUGUAGAUCUCUCAGCUCCCUCUCUAGCACCAACUAUGUCUGCCUGAGUGCUGCCAUGCUUUCUGCCCUGAUGAAAGUAGACUAAACUUCUGAAACUCUAAGCCAGCCUCAAUUAAAUGUUUUCCCAUGGUCAUGAUGUCUCUUCACAGGAAUAGAAACCCUAAUACUAUGUCAAGAGCAAAUAAAUAUCUUCACGGCACAAGCAAGUAUAAUGGAUUUUAAAUAACAUGAAAACCUAACUUUAUAUCCCAUCAUUGGAACCACACCCUUGAGCCUCGGAAUCCUCUUCAAUACAAAAGAAACAAAUGAUUGUUAUGUUAUUAGAUUGCACUGAGAAUGAAAAAAUACAAUAUAUCAAUAGUAUGGUUAUGUAUAUUAAAUAUCAGUAUUACUAACAUUAAUGAUGUGUAUAUAACUUGGACUUUGAGGAUUAUUAUGUUGAGAAAGGCUAGAAUUAUGAUGUAUCAGAAAUUUCUCAUAAUAUGACAUAGAGAAAUUGAUAACAUGGUAAAAUUUAAAGACGAUAGAUUAUGGAAUAUUAAUGUAGAAUAAGCUAUAUCUAUGGUGAAGUUAUGCUACUUGUUGAGGUUUAGGGCACUAAUAAACAAUGCUACCCCAUGCUCUUCUGAAUUUGGAAUCCGUUAAACAGUCACUGCAAUAGUACAAAGAUUUCCAAAUCCAAGUGAACAUUUUGCUACUGAUCAAAGCUGGCUUGCUGUUGGGCAGUGGUGGUACAUGCUUUUAAUCUCAGCACUCAUGAGGCAAAGGCAGGUAGAUCUCUUGAGUUUGAGACCAACCUGGUCUACCAUAGCUAGUUCUAGGACAGCCUGUUCUACACAAACAAAUCCUGUUUCAAAACAACAACAGCAAAACAAAACAAAACAGCAACAACCACAAAAAACAAAAACAAACAAACAAACAAAAAAACCCCACGAAACAACAACAAGGAAAAGUGCCUGGGUUUAAAUCACCUGGGUUGAGUCUCUCUGGUUUCUAUGGAAGAGCUUGCUCACAGUAAAGUUUCAAAGCAGAGACCUGAUUCCAUGAGUUCAUGUUUAGGCUGCAGAUUUCGCACCCCUGAGGCUGGAAGGCCUGCACAGAGCAGAGCUGAACAUGUGCAGUGCCUUCUCCCAGGUUCUCAGGCAAGUUUGCCCUCCCAGGAAUGGAGGUGGUAAGCUGGUCCUUCUCUAGUGCCUUAGUACAGUGAAGUGGGGGUGCAUUGUACAGGGAUUGUUCUUUUGCUGGCUGUCAUUAUAUCAACUUGACAAACAAACUAGAGGUAUCAGAAAGGAGGGAACAAUAAUCGAGAAAAUGCCUCUAUAAGAUCUGGCUGUCAGGCAUUUUCUCC